rnacentral:misc_RNA from 1 species
AAAGUCGUAACAAGGUUUCCGUAGGUGAACCUGCGGAAGGAUCAUUCAUAAUCAAGUGUUUUUAUGGCACUUUAAAUCCAUAUCCACCUUGUGUGCAAUGUCAUCUCACUGGGGUUACGUUUGUAAAAUUUCGUGAUCCGUUUGGGAUUUAUAUCUACUCAGAACUUUAGUCAUUUUGUCUGAAACAUAUUAUGAAUAACUUAAUUCAAAAUACAACUUUCAACAACGGAUCUCUUGGCUCUC